GCCAUAAACCUCUUGAAUCUACUCGGCAGUCAACAGCACACCCAGUCUUUGAAGAUUUGGUUUGGGAAACCAUUGCUGUACCGUGAGGACUCUGCUGUAACCUAUAGUGGAACCAGGACUCUCUCCGUGCAUGAUGGAUGUGGAAGCUGUUACAAGCACACACUGUAUGUUCCACGUAGACUAGCCAAUCAGAACUCCUGGAGAGCCCUAAAGGAAUGCAGACUGUGGGACGGGGGAGGAGCCUGAGAAGGGUCCACCUUGUUCUCGAGUGUAUGUCAUAAAGAAUCUCAGUGGUGAUCCAGCAGUGACCCUAACAUGCAUGUCACCAUGUGAGCAAGGCCCUGUGAGAGGCCACCUGACAGGGCAUGUGCAUCACAAAAGAGUCUUGAGAAUGAUAACUUGACAGAGAAAUACAGAUGAUGGGACACGUUCUAAAAGCACAUCACCAAAAGCAGCAGAGGGAAACGGGGACAAUACGGCAUAGGAUUCUCAAGUCGGCACGGAAGCCGCCAUCUGCGGCAGCUUGCAGAACACUGGUUUGCUGUGAAAAUUGAGGCAGAUGAACUUCCAGUGAAUUACAGGACUAUCCAAUGGAAGAUUUCACAGUAUUUAUGGUAUGAGAUGAAUAAAAAGGGAGCUAGGUUGA